GAUGAACGCUGGCGGCGUGCCUAAUACAUGCAAGUCGAGCGAACGGACGAGAAGCUUGCUUCUCUGAUGUUAGCGGCGGACGGGAGAGUAACACGUGGAUAACCUACCUAUAAGACUGGGAUAAUUUCGGGAAACCGGAGCUAAUACCGGAUAAUAUUCUGAACCGCAUGGUUCAAAAGUGAAAGACGGUCUUGCUGUCACUUAUAGAUGGAUCCGCGCUGCAUUAGCUAGUUGGUAAGGUAACGGCUUACCAAGGCAACGAUGCAUAGCCGACCUGAGAGGGUGAUCGGCCACACUGGAACUGAGACACGGUCCAGACUCCUACGGGAGGCAGCAGUAGGGAAUCUUCCGCAAUGGGGGAGAGCAUGACGGAGCAACGCCGCGUGAGUGAUGAAGGUCUUCGGAUCGUAAAACUCUGUUAUUAGGGAAGAACAUAUGUGUAAGUAACUGUGCACAUCUUGACGGUACCUAAUCAGAAAGCCACGGCUAACUACGUG
rnacentral:rRNA from 1 species